rnacentral:ncRNA from 15 species
UGGGACUCUCCGGAUGACAACUCCACACACAUCGAGGCGACGGUGGACAGGAACCCGGUGCGAACCCGGGACGGUCCCGCCACUGUGACCGUACGCGAGCCCACGGGCCCGUACGGAAGUCAGGAACUGACCCGUCGUCCUCCUGAAUUGGGGC